AUUGAACGCUGGCGGCAGGCUUAACACAUGCAAGUCGAGCGAGCGGCGGACGGGUGAGUAAUGUCUGGGAAACUGCCUGAUGGAGGGGGAUAACUACUGGAAACGGUAGCUAAUACCGCAUACCAUCAGAUGUGCCCAGAUGGGAUUAGCUAGUAGGUGGGGUAAUGGCUCACCUAGGCGACGAUCCCUAGCUGGUCUGAGAGGAUGACCAGCCACACGGGAACUGAGACACGGCCCAGACUCCUACGGAAGGCAGCGUUGGGGAAUAUGGCACAAUGGGCGCAAUCCUAGUGCGGACAUGCCGCGUGUGUGAAGAAGGCCUUCGGGUUGUAAAGCACUUUCAGCGAGGAGGCGUUACUCGCAGAAGAAGCACCGGCUAACUCCGUGCCAGCAGCCGCGGUAAUUC
rnacentral:rRNA from 1 species